GGUACUUCAGGUGAAAGUUUCAAAUCAGAGAAUAUUCAGCCCUUUGUGAAAAAUGAUACCAAAAAAGUUUCAAGCUGCGCUUCUGAAACUCUGCAAGAGGAAUCCAUCCAUUCUUUACUCAGCAAUGUUCAAGAGGAACAAACUCCAGUGUUGCCUGUAUUAUCUGCUUCAGCCAGGCAGAGUAAAUUUCACGUACCUCUGAGCUCUCCAUCGGCAGCACUAGGCCCCUCGGCACGUAUGGCAGGAGCGCUUCAUUGUUUAUCAUGGCUGUCAAUAAUGAACAAAAAGCUGUAACCUACACAGUUCCAGGCAGGAACUCGGCCUGCGUUAGUUGGAACACUACUUGGCCACCAAGUCUGCGUUAAAAAGGAUACCUCUUUGAUGGUCCAGGCCUGCAUU